AGAUUUUAAUGAACCUAUUGAUCACUUUUUUGUAAACGUACUUGAUUUAAGCGUACCUGAGAACGAAAGAUAUAUAUUAGAAAGUCCAGAACCAGAUUUUAUACGGAUAACGCAAAAUAGCCAAAUUUCUGAUACAACAUCAUCAGGAAGAGAAUCCCCGGAAAUUAGCGCACAAAAUUCACCUCAUAUUGAUCUAUUGGAUUUAUUUGCAUUAGAGUGUAAUGUAUUCAUAUUUGCAAAUAAAAAAAAAAUUAACAAAAAGAAAAUUAAAAAUGAACAACACAUAAGUCUAAAAUGGCUCCGGAAUAUGCGAUAAAUUUUUCCAAACAA